CUACGGGUCGCAGCAGUGGGGAAUAUUGCACAAUGGGCGCAAGCCUGAUGCUGCCAUGCCGCGUGUAUGAAGAAGGCCUUCGGGUUGUAAAGUACUUUCAGCGGGGAGGAAGGGAGUAAAGUUAAUACCUUUGCUCAUUGACGUUACCCGCAGAAGAAGCACCGGCUAACUCCGUGCCAGCGAGCCGCGGUAAUACGGGGGGUGCAAGCGUUAAUCGGAAUUACUGGGCGUAAAGCGCACGCAGGCGGUUUGUUAAGUCAGAUGUGAAAUCCCCGGGCUCAACCUGGGAACUGCAUCUGAUACUGGCAAGCUUGAGUCUCGUAGAGGGGGGUAGAAUUCCAGGUGUAGCGGUGAAAUGCGUAGAGAUCUGGAGGAAUACCGGUGGCGAAGGCGGCCCCCUGGACGAAGACUGACGCUCAGGUGCGAAAGCGUGGGGAGCAAACAGGAUUAGAUACCCCGGUAGUC
rnacentral:rRNA from 1 species